rnacentral:rRNA from 1 species
CCUACGGGUGGCAGCAGUGGGGAAUAUUGGACAAUGGGGGGAACCCUGAUCCAGCCAUGCCGCGUGUGUGAAGAAGGCCCUCGGGUUGUAAAGCACUUUCAGUGAGGAAGAACGCCUGGUGGUUAAUACCCAUCAGGAAAGACAUCACUCACAGAAGAGGCACCGGCUAACUCCGUGCCAGCAGCCGCGGUAAUACGGAGGGUGCGAGCGUUAAUCGGAAUUACUGGGCGUAAAGCGCGCGUAGGUGGCUUGAUAAGCCGGUUGUGAAAGCCCCGGGCUCAACCUGGGAACGGCAUCCGGAACUGUCAAGCUAGAGUGCAGGAGAGGAAGGUAGAAUUCCCGGUGUAGCGGUGAAAUGCGUAGAGAUCGGGAGGAAUACCAGUGGCGAAGGCGGCCUUCUGGACUGACACUGACACUGAGGUGCGAAAGCGUGGGUAGCAAACAGGAUUAGAUACCCUGGUAGUC